rnacentral:rRNA from 1 species
CAGUAGCCGCGGUAAUACGUAGGGUGCGAGCGUUAAUCGGAAUUACUGGGCGUAAAGCGUGCGCAGGCGGUUCGUUAAGACAGAUGUGAAAUCCCCGGGCUUAACCUGGGAACUGCAUCUGUGACUGGCGAGCUAGAGUAUGGCAGAGGGGGGUAGAAUUCCACGUGUAGCAGUGAAAUGCGUAGAGAUGUGGAGGAAUACCGAUGGCGAAGGCAGCCCCCUGGGCCAAUACUGACGCUCAUGCACGAAAGCGUGGGGAGCAAACAGGAUUAGAUACCCGCGUAGUCCCUGUCUCUUAUAC